ACAGGAGCGGAUACGAUGGAUGGAAAGUGGACAAAGUAACCAUCAGUAGUUAUUCUUCGAAAUCCGUUACGUUUAAUUACAACUCGAAGAUUCCAAAUGAUGUUUGGUUUGGUUUUAAUUUCUGCUCUGGGUAUCAAGCUGUGGAAUCUACUGCAGCAAUGUAAAAGACAGACGAAAAUUCCAAGCUUUCAGUUAGAGCUAUGAAUUAAGUAAUGCAGUGUUAUGAGUUGUGUACUUGGAACUGUUGCUUAGAGUUGUCUGAGUUAAAAUAAAGUGAUGACAUCUUUUGUAGCAAACUGGGAAAUGGUAAUUCCUGAUAGAGCUAGUGCUUUUUCCCCUUUCUUUGAUGGUUUAGCUAUUGCUG
rnacentral:misc_RNA from 1 species